CCAAUAGCGUAUAUUAAAGUUGUUGCAGUUAAAAAGCUCGUAGUUGAAUUUCGGGGUUUAUCAGUUGGUCGGGCUUAAUUGUCCGUACUGACUUGAUGGAUUCCUACCUUCUGAAUAACCAACAUGCUAUUAAGUUAGUGCGUUGGGGAAGCAGAUCUAUUACCUUGAAAAAAUUAGAGUGCUUAAAGCAGGCUAGUGCUUGAAUAGAUUAGCAUGGAAUAAUAAAAUAGGACGGCAUGGUUCUAUUUUGUUGGUUUCUAGGAUCACCGUAAUGCUUAAUAGGGAUAGUUGGGGGCAUUAGUAUUCAAUUGUCAGAGGUGAAAUUCUUGGAUUUAUCGAAGACUAACUUCUGCGAAAGCAGUUGCCAAGGAUGUUUUCAUUAAUCAAGAACGAAAGUUAGGGGAUCGAAGACGAUCAGAUACCGUCGUAGUCUUAACCAUAAACUAUGCCGACUAGGAAUCGGACGAUGUUAAUUUUUUAAUGACUCGUUCGGCACCUUACG
rnacentral:rRNA from 1 species